CAGAAAGUGUACCCACUAGCAUCUUUGGUGAUGGCCACCUGCUGGGCUUUAAGGAGGCCAACUAAGGAGAUAAUGUACCAGAGGCACAUGGUUGCAUAGAGUUAGCUUCCUCUGGGGCAGGUGUCUUCUUGAAGUGGGAAGCGUGGAUCCAGUUAGGCCUUCCGGCCAAUUUGACAGAGGUAGGGGAGAUCAGGAGAACUUGGAACGGACAUUUACUGUUUUCGCACAAAUUUCUUGACCAGAACCCAGUCACCGGGGAGCAGACUGUGGUUGCCUGUGUCAGAAUCAGGAUCUGGAAUUGAAGAGAAAACUUGGGCAUGGAUUUUGUUCAAAGCAUUUGCGAGUUCAGUUACAUAAUCUACAAAAACAUCAGUUUGAAGUUGUAGUUGUUGGGGAAAAUAGCAACCUAGCCUAGGUGCAGUCCCAAAUAGAAUCUCAUAUGGGGACAGUGAGGUAGUAUUUUUGUACAAGAGCAUUCAUUAGAUCCUUUGAUAAAUGUGCAGGUCCGUGUGCCCAUUGUACGACUGCUGGGUACAAAU